rnacentral:rRNA from 1 species
AGAGAGAGACAUGCGCGCAUAUCAAUAAGCGGAGGAAAAGAAACUAACAAGGAUUCCCCUAGUAACGGCGAGUGAAGCGGGAAGAGCUCAAAUUUGAAAUCUUAAAGGGUUUCCCUUUACGAAUUGUAGUUUAAAGAAGUGUUUUCUGUUGAGGUUUUGGUAAAAGUUCUUUGGAAUAGGACAUCAUAGAGGGUGAGAAUCCCGUAUUUGACCUUUACUUUCAACUUUGUGAUACACUUUCAAAGAGUCGGAUUGUUUGGGAAUGCAGUCCAAAAUGGGUGGUAAAUUUCAUCUAAAGCUAAAUAUUGGGCGAGAGACCGAUAGCGAACAAGUACCGUGAGGGAAAGAUGAAAAGAACUUUGAAAAGAGAGUUAAACAGUACGUGAAAUUGUCAAAAGGGAAGCGUUUGACACCAGUGUUGUUUUUCUGAAAAUCAAUUAAAGAACUGUUUAUGCUAAGCUGUUUAGACUUUAUCAGCUAAUCUGUUUAGUUUUGAGCUUUUCUUUAAUGCACUUUUCAGUUAACAAGUCAACAUCAAUUUCUUUUGCUGUAAAAAAGCUUGAGGAAGGUGGCUUGAGAUUCGUUUUAAGUGUUUAUAGCCUCUUGCCUAUGCAGUCGGAGAGAUUGAGGUCUGCAGCGUAGAUCCUUCGGGGCUAAAUGCAUUUGUGCUAAGUUAUAGCAUUUUAUAGACAACUUGUUGACUAUGAUUUAGUCAUUGUAGCUUACUCGCUUAUGUUAUUUUACCUACGCUUAGGAUGUUGAUGUGAUACUGCGAGC